rnacentral:lncRNA from 1 species
GCCUCCAAUUUUUGAGAAAGGCUUUGUUGUGGGAGAACUUUUUAUAAAGAUCUCCUUAGUUAAAUUUUGGCGUGGAAGUGCGUAUUCAGUCUGUGGAAUUCGUAUUUCCGGGUAUGUUUCUUAUUUAAUUUUUGUAAUGUUAUUAUUUUUAAUUGUUAGUUAAAGUUUGAAUUUUUGAAGUUUAGUUAGUGUUGUUAAUAAACUAGUUAGUUUACUAUGUUUAUUUUGGCUUGGAAUUGAUUAUGUAAAUGAGUUAUUUGUGAUGACUUUUAAUAUUUUGUGAUGAAUUUCAUUAAUUAAUAAUUAUUAAUGAUAUUAAAGUUAUUUAAUGAUUAUAUUAAAUAAUUUAGUUUAAAAAUGAUUUUAAUAUUAUAAAAAUCAUUUUAAAUGAAAAUAAGGUAUUUAAAAAUAUUUUAAGUUAUAAAAUAUAACUUUUAAUAUUUAAAUGAUAAUUUCAUUAAUAAUUAAAUAUUAAUGAUAUUAAGAUAAUAUUAAUGAUAUUUAGUUUAUUUAAUGAUUAAUAUUAAAUAAAUAGUUUAAAAAUGGUUUUACUUAUUUAAAAACCAUUUAAAGAGGAUAUUAAGGAUUUAAAAAUAUUUUAAGUUAUAAUUAAUGACUUUUAAUAUUUGGAUAAAUAGUACAUUAAUAUUUAAAUAUUAAUGGUAAUUAUUUGGGUAAUAUAAAUGUUUUAAAAAUAGUUUGAGUUAUUAUAAAUAACUUUUAUAUUUUGGCAAUGGUUUCAUUAAUAGUUUAGUAUUAAUUAAACUAUUAAUGAUAAUGGAAUUGUUUAAUGUUUAAAUCAUUUAAUUAUGAUUCCGAUAUUUGAAAGUUAUAGCCGGCCAAACUAGCUGACUUGAGAACCGAUUAUGAAGUUCUGAAUUUGAAGAAGAACACCUAUAGUAACAGUUAUAUCACUAUAGGCCCUUUAGUGACAGAUUUGAAUUAUUUUAAAUUUUUCAAUUUCUGGAAAUUGCGAAAAUGAUUAAAAAUAAGAUGUCUGAUAUUUACAGAUGUUGAGGUAUAGAAUAAGAGUCUUAGACUCAGUAUUUACCCGAUAAAGCUGUCGGUACGCCGACAAAUGUCAGACCUUAUAAAAGAAAGAAAAGACUACUGUAAGAGCAUGGAUGAGAUAUUUGAAAAAUGUAUAAAAAUAUUUCAAGUAUAGAAUAGGAACUAAAAGUAUGAUCACUGUGAUUAUGUGAUUAGACUAUGUGCUGACUGUAAUAGACAGUACUAUGUGUUAAGAUAUAUUGUUCUAAUCGAACGAAUGAUCUGAUUAUUGAUAGGUUGUGAUAAAGAGAUAAAACCUAAGUUGAGAUUUGUAAUCAGCGAAUCAGGCAAGUAUCCUACCUUUGCACUUCCUUUAUGCAAUGGACAUGAGUAAGAAGUUUCAGAAUUAUUCUAUCCCUGUACAGAUUAUGUACUCUUUGAUUAUCGACAUGUUAGCUCAGAUAUAUAUUCUGUUCAUUGAUUUCUAUAAAUGGUUAUACAAGUGUCCCCACUUGGAUAAUCAUGGCAUUUGUUCACAUGUUGAUACACCUUUGUCAAUUACCCGUAUAUAUAUGUUGAAUUACAUAUUAUUGUUGAGCAAGAUUAAAAACCUUCGGGUUUGGAACCAGGCAUGUAUGAACAUCCCUAUAUGGGAAGAUUUUUGCGCAAGGCGGAUAGAGUGAGCGAUGAAUUUCGUUCAAGUUAUGUAGUAUUGAUCAAUACAGGGUACAACGGGGCUGAUCACCCUCCGUGCCCGUAAGUUAUGACGGUUUGAGGAUAGAAUUCCGCUAAACCUUUUCGAAAAUGAAAAGAAUGUUCAUAGUAUGUUUCUUAAACCCUAUUCAAGGGUAGAGCCAGAGCCAAAUUUAAAGAAUUUGAAAGAGAGUUGUUAUGUGAAUUUUUUAUCAGUACAGAUUACUUCACAACUUUCAAUUCGUUGUAGAAGUGUUAUGUAAAGAGAAUACUUAUAUUCUUUCAGCUUAUAUAUAAUUGCUAUUACUUGCUGGGCACUUAAAUGCUCAUCCUUGCUUAAAUUAAAUGUUUUCAGUUAUGUAUGAGCAACCUGAAGGCUCAGGCACGAACAAAGGAAAAGGAAAGCUGAUCGAAUAAGUGUGUAUUAUGAGUUAAUGGUUAUAGUUGUAUUGGUAUCUAUUCAAGUAUUGUAAGGAAUGUAUUUGAAGGUCACGUACCUGGGGAAGUAAACUUUGAUGUAUGUAAAUUAAGUUCGAAUGUAUUAUUAUUUAGUAUUAUUCAGCUUAAAAAAAUGGUAUCGUGGAGAACCGAGUUCGGGUUUCAAGUACCUGGAUUUGGGGUCGUCACAGUACCAAUGUCAAUUGCUUUACAUUUAAAAUUAUUUCUCAUCAAAACAAUUUUCACCAUCAAACGGUUCAUAUGUGGAGAACCAAGCACGAGUAGGACACAUAUGAUAAGAACACCCAGAAUUCAAAAUUCAAUAACUGCCAAGUCUUUCUCUGUAAUCGGCUACUAACAGAAGAUCAUCACUAUCCUCAGUAACACUAGCCUGAGCAGGCUUUCUUGCCCCCUGAUUCUGCUGGUUCAACACAUUUUGUCUACUAUUAAUCUGACCAUGAUUGUCUCCUCUGUGUUCUUUAUUUUUCAACUUCAGACAAUUACACUUUAUAUGCCCCCUUUGUAUGACAAUAGUUAUAGCUAAAAAAUUUAUUCUGAGAUUUCGAUCUGUUGUACUGCCACUUUUUGAACUUCUCUCAAUUGACAUCCCUCUGACAAACAAUCCAACACCUUAAUCAUCACUUUUUCCAAAAGUCACCUCAAAAUCUAAUUUUUGUUCACUCAUAAGAUUCAUCUUUAACAUCCUCCAUUAAGAUAGUUUCUCUAUCAUAGAUCACAGUGUCUCUAAAGUGCUUAUAUGAAGGAGGUAAUGAGACUAACAACAAUAGGGUUUGAUCUUCAUCAUCAAUCUUAACAUCAAUAUUAUGUAACUCAGUUACAAUUGAAUUAAACUCGGUGAUAUGAGAUUUGAUUUGAGUACCUUCUGACAUAUGCUAGGUGUAAAGACGAUGUUUAAGUGGACCUUGUCAAAUAGAGACUCUAAUUUCUUUCACAAAUUAGCAGCUCUAGUUUCCACUAACUCCUCCUGCAACACAUUAUUCGAAAGGCACAACUAAAUUGCCGAAAGUACUUUAUCAUCCAUAGUUUGUCAUUCUGACUUGGACAUCUCACAGGCUUCACUACCUCCCUACAAUGGCUUUCUUCAAGCCUUGCUGAGUAAUAAUAGUUUUCACCUGAAUCUGUCAAAGACUAAAACUAAUAUUCCCAUCGAAUUUAUCAAUAUCAAAUUUCGUUGAUGAAGUCGAACUCAAUGCCAUAGUAUAGAUCGAUAAUAAUCAGACUCUUGAUACUAGUUUGUUAUGACAAACACAAUAAAUCAACGCAGAAAGAUAAAUACAAUAACACAAGGUUUUACGUGGAAACCCAAAUGGGGAAAAACCACGAGCAUAAGAAAUCCACAAAUAUGAUAAGAAAUACUAAAUUGAGUAUAACUAGGAAAGAUAACUUUCCUAAACCAAAACAGACUCUAGGUAAUACCUAAAUCCAAAUCCAAUAAGGAUUCAUGUCAUACCCAACAUUAUCUAGCCUCAGUGAAGGCAUUAUCUUAGUCUUUAUGACCUUAUUUCCUUGUAGUGCUUGAGGUUACCCCUAUACCCACUAUAAUAUUAAAUAAAUUGUUGUAAUAUAUAUAUAUAUAUAUAUAUGUGUGUGUGUGUGUGUGUGUAUGUGUGAAUUUUACUUUGAUAUGGGGCCAGUAUCAUAUAUAUUUUAGAUACCUGCUCACUCGAUCAUGCAUUUUACUUGUUAUCAAAUAAAUUAAAUAGAUGCUAGGAGUAAAAUUUACCCAGCGAAUCUCUUCUGGCUUGUACUCCAAUCUCCAUUUCAAAGACUCUUUAAGCAUCUUAGUUGCCUUCUUGAUGUUCCAGUUCCGUGCCCUCAAAUAUCUUGAAAUUGAUGCAUCAGAACAAUAAAUAGACAACUUAUCCGACAAUGGCCCGAUCAAGCUUCUCACCUCAUUAAUCUGCAUUAAACAAUUCAGUAUUGAGAAAGCAUUAAACCCUUCCCUCUCUAACUUUAACAUCAAAACAUGACAACAAAUUAAAGUACAUAUGAAUGUACUAUCAACAACGGGAGAACAUAAUACACCUUCUCGUGCAUCUCUUCUGAUGUCAAAGAAUUUUCAUGACCAUUUGACGAGGAUUUCUUUAAAUCUGUACUCAUAGCUUUUAAAGAGGCCUACCUGUAUGUCACAACUGAUUUCCAAAGACUUUACAACUGACAAUCAAAAUCAAUAUGUAAAUCAACGAUAAAGGCAAUCAUUUUUUUUUGGCAUUUUAUAUUCACUGAAAAUGCAGCAAGGAGGGUACAAAACAGACCAAAUUUCAUACAUAAAUUGAAAAGAUUGCGCUCAUUGGUCAUAUUAUUCUUCUCUAACCAAGACAGAAAGAAAGACAUCUAGCUUCGCCACAAACCUAAUGAACAGCUAAAGUGUAUGUAAGAACCUGAAUUUUUAGAAAAUAUUAAAAUAAGAAUUUAAUAGAUAAAAUUCUUAAAGCAUGAGAUGGGUUCGAAUAAUAAUAUAUAAAUGUGUUACGAGGUAUGUGGUAUUGUGUUACAUAGGGUAAUAUGAGCUAUGUAAUAAGUGAUGUUGUGUUUAAUAAAUAUAUAUCAUUAUUAUAUAUUUGUUAUAAAUUGUAGAGAUGAAUUAAUAAGAAGAUGGAUAAGAUUUAUCUAUCGACAUUAAAUAAUUUAUAGAAUUAUUUUAUCAUAGUGAGUUGGUGACAUUAAAUAUCUUUGAUGGAUAAUCACCAUUUUCUUGAAUAUAUAUAUUAGUAACUAAUAUGAUGUAAUAUGAGUUUUAGUUAGUGCUUAAGCUAUCCAUGGAUAAAUUGAGAUAGUAAAGCAUAAAUUAGUUAAUUAUGAGAAUUAACUAACAAGUAGAAAUAUUGGUUAAUUUAUAUUAAAGUGGAAGUUAUAUUAUGGAAUAAUAUAAUUUGAAGGGGUUUAAGAAUCACUCAAGUAAAUAGUGAAUAUGUGAUUAUAGUCGGUGCUUUAUAUUUGAGUUUUGUGGUAAGAAACCCGUAAAGGAGAUUUCAUAGUUGGUUAAACUAUUAAGGAAAAAUAAAGUUUUAAAACUUUUAGUUUGAUAUUUAAAUUAUUAAAGAAAAUAGUAAUCCAUCAUGUGGAAUCAAAGAAGAGGUUGAUUUUAGAUGAGUUACCAUUUAUGAGGUAUAUGGGAAGUAUUUAGGAGUGUAGAUUCUAUUUCUGUUAAAACAAAAACUUGUUGUGUCUGAACUUGGUAUGGCGCAGCUGCGCCAUUUCCAAGCCUAUGACCAGCGCAGCUGCGCCGGUCUGUAGGAUGUUCUGAGAAAGUUUGUGACAUUUAAAAUUUAAGAAAUGGGUACUAAGGACUCGUAGGGAUAAUAAAAUCUUAAAUGAUGAUUAAGUUGUCUAUGAAUGGAUUAAUUAGCAAAACAGGAUUUGAAUAAGAGUUAAUUAAUUAACCCGGAAUAAAUAUUGGUUAAUUAAGUGAUAUUAUGGAAGAAUUAUAUUAUGUGAAUUAGUGUAGUGCAUACUAAUUAUUGUAAGGAAAUGACUAUUUGGUUAAAGAUGUUAUGAGUAUAAGUUCAUAGUAUAUAAUCAUUUAAGGUAAUUAAAUGAUAAGGUAAAGUGUGACACCUAAGCUUUACAUUAAAUAUUAAAAUAAUGUGGAAUUGGGAAAAAGCCAAACGUGGCCUAGACCCCUAAUAUUUUGUGGUAGAGAUAAUGAGCUUGAGUUAUAUAACUCCAGUAAAUGAGAUAAAUGAGCCUUGUGUGGCCUAAGUAUUAAAGUUAAACUAUACUGAAGGUUUGACUGGAAUUAUUAAAAGAGAAUUAAUGGAAAGAUAAUAGAUGAUUGAUAAUAAUCAUUGUGAUAGGAAAUAAUGGGUUGAAAGUACCCAACUAAAUUAUAUUUAGCCCAAUUAAAAUAUUAUGUGGACUAAUGUACAUGGAGUAUAUGAUGUGAGUACAUAAAUAAUCCCUAAUUUUACUUGGUGUAGUAGCAUUAACACAUUAAAAUAUUAUUUUGGGAAUUAAAGGAACUAAACUAAGCUUUAGUUGCUGAGAAAUAAGCCUUGUCCCAAAAUCAGUGUCACACUAUUUAACUGUCGUGUGGUAGGCCAUUGGCCUAUUCUAUUCCUUCUUCACAAAGCAAUAUAGCAGAUGAUGGCUACAAGUUGGUAAUCAUGACUACGGGAAUGGAGGAAGAAAGAGUUGAUAACCAACUCCUUAUUACCCUUUGAUUUCUUCUUCUUCCUGAUAGAUCAAAACAUUGUGCAAAGCUAUGGACUGUGUACAGAAUUCUCUAUAAAUAGAGCUCCUCCUUUUCUUUUCCCGUUUGUUGAAGUGCCUGAGUUUCUGCUAUUGGAAGUUAGUAGAAUUGGAGAGUCAGUAGAAUUGGAAGAAUGGAGGAGCUAUAGUUAAUAAUUGCAAGCAUUCAAGAGGUAUUAAUGUUAACUUAUAUGCUUUUGAUUCCUAAGUUUUCAAUUCCUUAGAAAUGACAAGAAAAACUUGCUUUUGAGUCACAAAAUUGAUGGCUAAGGAUUGUUAUAAUCCAUGAAUUGUUGCUAGAUAUUGUUAAUACCGUUAAAUGCGAAAACAACGGAAGUUAAACGAACCAAUUUGGUUUAGAAACGAAUUCGUAGUGAAUGAAUUCGCUAAAUUUGUCAAAACAUGAAAAUUUAGUAUAAACAUGAGUUUUGGAUUAAUAUUUGGGUUAGUUAAUGUUUAUGUUAAUUGUUGAUUAUUUGGUAUGUUGUAGUUUUAUGAGUUACAAACCCAUAGAAUCAAAAACGGACUAAUUUGGAUGAGUAUAACUCAUGUUACGAAAAUCGGAAGGAGUAUGGGUCUGGAAAGUCGCGAAGAACAAAACCUGAGGAGCUGUUCUACCUCACUGGGCGCAGUUGCGCUGCCCCCAAGGCCAUUUGGGGAGCAGCUGCGCCGGACAUCAGUGUCGGGUAGACUGAUUUGACCUGCUGUAGUAAAUUAGGCACAACUUUUUCAUACGAACUCCGAUUGAGGUGAUUCAAGAUGAUCCGGAACGAGGACGAAUAGACCUACAACUUUUGUUCUUUAAGUUUUUCAAUUUGAGGUCGUUAGAAGGGGUCAAAAUAGUCAUCUUCUUUGUGACUGUUACGUAUUUGGAUACAAUCGGAGGGCGUCGAAUGAGCACAUACGCAAGUAUAGUGCUCCCGACAAUGAAAUAUGUUAUUCUAAGUAAUAAAACAUGAAUAUGCAUGAUAAUAGACAUGACAUAUAAGAUUUCCUUGCUCAUAAUGGAAUGCUUUAGCAUGACUUAGUAUGUGUUUUGAAAAGAAACUUGGAAUUUUGAAAAACAAAUAUUGACGAACCUUGAGUAUUUGAAGUUAUGAUAUUUUAACACAUAAAUAUGGUUGAGUUAUGAGUAUAACUAAGCAUGAGAAGUGAUUUAAAGUUGCUUUACUUAUUAUCAACUUACAAUAGCUUAGUUGAAAAUGAUUUCUAAAGAAAACUUGAAACUUUGAGAACGAACUUAAAGUAACUCGUGUACUUAAAGUUCUAAACGUGAUAACAUACAUACAUGGCUUAGUUGGCUAUGAAAUGAGAUUAAGAGUUGCACCUAGUUGCUUUAACUUGGCCUGGAAUGACUUUUAAAAGUGAACUUGAACGCCUUGCGAAACUAAGUUUUGCGAAACUAAGUUUUUAUAAACAUGACUUACAUGUGUGCUCAUCUAGCUAAACACCAUAUAAGUCGUGCGACUAUGAAUUGUAAUGAGUUCUCAAACAAUGAACUAUACUAAUGAGUUGAAUAAAUGCGAGCAUAUGCGUUAUAGGCGUUUAACGUCCUUACAUGAUGAAAUGGUUAAGGUAGUUCAUACAUGAACCUACUUACCCUUAUUGGAAAAUUUCAAGUAAGUCUUUAAAGUGUGGAAACAACUUAAAGUAAACACAAAAGACACCCAACUUGGGCUAAAGACCUCUUAACAUGUGGAUAAGUUAUGUGUUAACAGUCAUGCAUGCUAAGAACCCAUAUAAAACGAGAAAUUAAAUACUCAACUUUGGUCCGGCCACGGGACGGCGCAGCUGCGCCCAUCCCAAGCCUAAUUGCAGCGCAGCUGCGCCACAGGGCAGUGAUGCCUUAUUAUUUUAACUUUGAUCUAGACCUUAAAGCAUAUAGGUAUGAAUGUCUAGAGUUAUAAUACUUAACAUAAAUGAUGUUUUAAGCAUAUGAGCAUGUAAUGGAUAUAUAAAACACAGAGUUGUUAAAUUUUAUUAAGGUUUGCAAAAUGCAAGAACUAUGUGAAUCAUACAUCUAUGAGUUUUAAAUGUGUAACGAACACAUAGCGAGUCAAGCGUGUGAUAGAUAUAUAUCAAUGUUGAUGUAAAGUACGGGUGGUUAAGGUAUACCUAUACAUACCUAGCUAUUCUAAGAGUAUGAUGAGAAAGUGAAAUGUAGGUUUUACAAGCCUAGUUAGGAAACAAUGUAACAUUACUAUUAUAUUAAGAAUGUAUGAAAUAUUUGACUAAUGGAUGUGAAUCCAUGAUUAUAUAACUGUGUACGAAUACACGAAGUGCAGAUAACUAUAAGCAGUUAAGUCGUAGUUGAUAAACUACGAAUCAGGCAAGUCUUUCAGUUCCUAUUUGUUAUAUGAAUUCGAUAACUGUUAGUUGAGCUAUAUUAUACCAUGAGAAUGUUGAUGUAUAUAUAUGAAAUGCAUAUGAGAUAUGUAUGAAAUGUGAAAGUUGAUCUUUAAUGAUAUGUUUGUGAAAUAAACCUAUAUGUCUGUUAUAUGAGAAGUAACAUGCGUAGUAAAUAUUAAUGGAUUAUGAAUGCAUGAGCUGAGUAUGCUAUUGUAUGAUAUGUGCUGCAUGAAACUGUUAGAAUUGCUGGGCUGUCGAGCUCAUCCUUGCAAAUAACCACUUUUGCAGAUUAAGAACUCACGGUAAAGAUUAUGUGCUACUUGAUUGAUAGAGUUCAAUAGUAUCAAAGGAGAUUGAUACUAGGUGGGGUGCUAUGGGGAGGUCUAGCGCCUAGGCGGGGCCUAGGCGGACCUAGACGGGAAUUUUUAGAACACUGAAGACCCCUAUGAUUUCUAAGAACUGUUGGGGGCAGACUAUAUGAAGUUAUUUCCUACUCACUAUUUCUUUGUCUGGAUUUAAAAUCCCCAUACAUAUUGAUAUGCCUACAAUGUUACAAAACUAAUGCAUUUAUAGUUGGAAAUAAUAAACUCUGGAGUCUAAAUUCCAAUAGUUACCUUACCAGGUCUUAUGAAACUUAGUUGCACAUCUAUAAAGUGUUAAUAUAGGAAAAUCUAGGGUUGUUAAUGAGUUAAAUAUGGUGUAGUUAGCCAGCUAAAAAUGUGGUUCCAGUACUUAAUGCCAAGAUCAAUUUUUGAAUUUGAGGGGAUGGAUUAUACAGUAUAUACAAGCUCAACUGAUAAUAAAUUGACAUCCAUUUUUAGUCCUACAAUACAAGUGCUUUUACAAACUUUUGUGAUAUUUUAUUUAAUAACAUAGGACCUAGAUAAAAAUAAAAUAUCACUAUGGAACAUUGACACCCCAAGGAGUUCAUAAGACCAAUAAACACCGACCCAAUUCAUACAUAAAAGAGAAGCAUAAUUCUCUGGGCUAUUGGGUAAUAAUUCUAUUAAAAGAAUAUAUAUCCAUGGCUCACUCAAGUGUACCAUGAGAAUACCAAUAGUCUUAGAAUACUAGACCUCUCGGCUUAUAUCAAUGACUCGAGGUUUAGUAACCUUUGUCCACCAUCCACUUAUUUUGAGUUUCAGGACAAAAGAAUGUCUACCAUUGCCAACUAGCAAAUUUGUUUCUUAUUCCAAUAAGCUCGCCUGUUGCUGACUAUACCUAGGAUCUCAACCGCCAUUGUCUAGAUUGUGUAUUUAUGGCUUUGGAUUGUAGCCAAUGGAUAAGCAACCCAGUAUAUGUAUAUGUAUGUGUAUAAAAUAUCUAAAUGCUGCUCUUGACAUUUGGACAGCAUAUCCAACACAUAAAACUGCAUGGAUCCCACUCUGCUAUGUGUGGGCCUGAUGCCCACUGCUACACCCACGAACUGAGAAGAAAAAAAAAGGGUUUCUCGACUCUCUAGUCACCUUUCCAAUCAAACAUAAUUUUUACACCUACUUUACCAGAAAGUUUACAAAACCUUGCUGGAAAUUAUUCCAUCGUAAAGGAGAUGACUGUAUACUUUCAAAAAAUGAUUUGUGUUUAAUAAUACUUCGCACUGAACUCAAGUCAAUCCAAAAGUAGGAGAAUUUAGUUGGACGCUUCAAACUUUUUCUGGGUCACUUAUACUUGGUUUCAUUUUCAGAAUUGACUAUUAUUCUCAACAUUAUAAAAAUACUCCCAUAUUAUUUGACAAAGUUGACUUUUUAAGGUCACUUCGACUAUUUUUAAAAACAAUAUUCUUAUUCUUUAUCUCAAAAAAUUUAUUUUAUUUUUUCAUUUUUGAUAAGUAAACAGUAAAUAACAAAUAACAUUGUUCUCGAUUCUCAAAUUCUAUAGGUUUAGGCUACACAGCUAGAGUUCUCUUUGAUUGUCGAAAUAGAAAUCUCUAAUUACAAAAAGAACAAGAAACCAUACAGCAGCCACCCCAAAAUUAAUUUAUUUUAUCUUUGUG